CCCCCAGUAGCGGCGAGCGAACGGGGAGCAGCCCAGAGCCUGAAUCAGUAUGUGUGUUAGUGGAAGCGUCUGGAAAGGCGCGCGAUACAGGGUGACAGCCCCGUACACAAAAAUGCACAUGCUGUGAGCUCGAUGAGUAGGGCGGGACACGUGGUAUCCUGUCUGAAUAUGGGGGGACCAUCCUCCAAGGCUAAAUACUCCUGACUGACCGAUAGUGAACCAGUACCGUGAGGGAAAGGCGAAAAGAACCCCGGCGAGGGGAGUGAAAAAGAACCUGAAACCGUGUACGUACAAGCAGUGGGAGCACGCUUAGGCGUGUGACUGCGUACCUUUUGUAUAAUGGGUCAGCGACUUAUAUUCUGUAGCAAGGUUAACCGAAUAGGGGAGCCGAAGGGAAACCGAGUCUUAACUGGGCGUUAAGUUGCAGGGUAUAGACCCGAAACCCGGUGAUCUAGCCAUGGGCAGGUUGAAGGUUGGGUAACACUAACUGGAGGACCGAACCGACUAAUGUUGAAAAAUUAGCGGAUGACUUGUGGCUGGGGGUGAAAGGCCAAUCAAACCGGGAGAUAGCUGGUUCUCCCCGAAAGCUAUUUAGGUAGCGCCUCGUGAAUUCAUCUCCGGGGGUAGAGCACUGUUUCGGCAAGGGGGUCAUCCCGACUUACCAACCCGAUGCAAACUGCGAAUACCGGAGAAUGUUAUCACGGGAGACACACGGCGGGUGCUAACGUCCGUCGUGAAGAGGGAAACAACCCAGACCGCCAGCUAAGGUCCCAAAGUCAUGGUUAAGUGGGAAACGAUGUGGGAAGGCCCAGACAGCCAGGAUGUUGGCUUAGAAGCAGCCAUCAUUUAAAGAAAGCGUAAUAGCUCACUGGUCGAGUCGGCCUGCGCGGAAGAUGUAACGGGGCUAAACCAUGCACCGAAGCUGCGGCAGCGACGCUGAUGCGUUGUUGGGUAGGGGAGCGUUCUGUAAGCCUGCGAAGGUGUGCUGUGAGGCAUGCUGGAGGUAUCAGAAGUGCGAAUGCUGACAUAAGUAACGAUAAAGCGGGUGAAAAGCCCGCUCGCCGGAAGACCAAGGGUUCCUGUCCAACGUUAAUCGGGGCAGGGUGAGUCGACCCCUAAGGCGAGGCCGAAAGGCGUAGUCGAUGGGAAACAGGUUAAUAUUCCUGUACUUGGUGUUACUGCGAAGGGGGGACGGAGAAGGCUAUGUUGGCCGGGCGACGGUUGUCCCGGUUUAAGCGUGUAGGCUGGUUUUCCAGGCAAAUCCGGAAAAUCAAGGCUGAGGCGUGAUGACGAGGCACUACGGUGCUGAAGCAACAAAUGCCCUGCUUCCAGGAAAAGCCUCUAAGCAUCAGGUAACAUCAAAUCGUACCCCAAACCGACACAGGUGGUCAGGUAGAGAAUACCAAGGCGCUUGAGAGAACUCGGGUGAAGGAACUAGGCAAAAUGGUGCCGUAACUUCGGGAGAAGGCACGCUGAUAUGUAGGUGAAGUCCCUCGCGGAUGGAGCUGAAAUCAGUCGAAGAUACCAGCUGGCUGCAACUGUUUAUUAAAAACACAGCACUGUGCAAACACGAAAGUGGACGUAUACGGUGUGACGCCUGCCCGGUGCCGGAAGGUUAAUUGAUGGGGUUAGCGCAAGCGAAGCUCUUGAUCGAAGCCCCGGUAAACGGCGGCCGUAACUAUAACGGUCCUAAGGUAGCGAAAUUCCUUGUCGGGUAAGUUCCGACCUGCACGAAUGGCGUAAUGAUGGCCAGGCUGUCUCCACCCGAGACUCAGUGAAAUUGAACUCGCUGUGAAGAUGCAGUGUACCCGCGGCAAGACGGAAAGACCCCGUGAACCUUUACUAUAGCUUGACACUGAACAUUGAGCCUUGAUGUGUAGGAUAGGUGGGAGGCUUUGAAGUGUGGACGCCAGUCUGCAUGGAGCCGACCUUGAAAUACCACCCUUUAAUGUUUGAUGUUCUAACGUUGACCCGUAAUCCGGGUUGCGGACAGUGUCUGGUGGGUAGUUUGACUGGGGCGGUCUCCUCCUAAAGAGUAACGGAGGAGCACGAAGGUUGGCUAAUCCUGGUCGGACAUCAGGAGGUUAGUGCAAUGGCAUAAGCCAGCUUGACUGCGAGCGUGACGGCGCGAGCAGGUGCGAAAGCAGGUCAUAGUGAUCCGGUGGUUCUGAAUGGAAGGGCCAUCGCUCAACGGAUAAAAGGUACUCCGGGGAUAACAGGCUGAUACCGCCCAAGAGUUCAUAUCGACGGCGGUGUUUGGCACCUCGAUGUCGGCUCAUCACAUCCUGGGGCUGAAGUAGGUCCCAAGGGUAUGGCUGUUCGCCAUUUAAAGUGGUACGCGAGCUGGGUUUAGAACGUCGUGAGACAGUUCGGUCCCUAUCUGCCGUGGGCGCUGGAGAACUGAGGGGGGCUGCUCCUAGUACGAGAGGACCGGAGUGGACGCAUCACUGGUGUUCGG
rnacentral:rRNA from 1 species